ensembl:lncRNA
ACUUCUGGACUUUGUAGCUGACGUGGCCCCCAAGUACCUUUUUAUUGCUUAAGUGAAAUUCUGUCAGGUGUAGUCAAUAGUCUGCCUAAUUUCAUUAGGGCUUUACUGCUUUAGCUGAAUACUUUCCUGGCAAGUUUAUAAAGACUGGGAAUUGCUUUAGGAGUUGAGCCAUCACAGGACCUUCUUGGUCAAGUUUGUGUUUUUCCUGGCAAUUAAAUUCCUUUAACAUCCAGCAAGUGCCAGAAAUCUUACUGAGUCACGAUUCCAGAAUCCAGAUUCUGCCUCUGAUGUUUCAGUCUCUUGGCAACAGCAGUUGCCUGUCCCUGAAGCGCUAGGUCACAGUUGAAUACUUUUGUUUUUGCUGCUACCUGUGAAACAACAGCUGUACAGUGGACACACUGCCUUGGUACCUUAGAGAGCCCUCGAACAGACCAGCCCCAGCACUUGAACAGAGCAUUCCUCUUCAGGGGACGAAAACCAUGGUCCAGAUCAAGAAGCAUAAACGAGGAAAUUGAAAAUCCCGCAUUGUUCUAUUUCCGAGUGAAAAGCUUUGACUCACCACUAGAGGGCACUAUUCACCCUCUCAUCUUUCUGAAGGUUUCAGCCCAGCAGGGCUCGUUUUCAAAUGAAAAUAACUGCAUUUACUAAGUGCUACUCUGUCAAUGCAUCCCACCCUAUCUUGGAGAAAACUUCUUGGAGAAGACUCUUGAGAGUCCUUUGGACUGCAAGGAGAUCAAACCAGUCCAUCCUAAAGGAAAUGAGUCCUGAAUAUUCAUUGGAAGGACUGAUGCUGAAGCUGAAACUCCAAUACUUUGGCCACCUGAUGUGAAGAGCUGACUCAUUGGAAAAGACCCUGAUGCUGGGAAAGAUUGAAGGCAGGAGGAGAAGGGGAUGACAGAGGAUGAGAUGAUUGGAUGGCAUCACCGAUUCGAUGGACAUGAGUUUGAGUAAGCUCCAGGAGUUGCUGAUGGACAGGGAAGCCUGGCAUGCUGCAGUCCAUGGGGUCACAAAGAGUUGGACAUGACUGAGCCACUGAACUGAACUGAACUGAAUUGAGCCCCUCCCUCUCUGUGUCCACAAGUCUGUUCUCUAUGUCUGCAUCUCUAUUUCUGCUCUACAGAUAGGCUCAUCAGUACCAUUUUACUAGUUUCCAUAUAUGCAUAUAUAUAUAUAUAUAUGUACAUGCAUUAAUAUAUGACAUUUGUUUUUCUAUUUCUGAUUUAUUUCACUUUGUAUAAUGACAGAAUGCUUUUACAUAGUGCUAUCCCUUUUCCAUUUAUAUUUUGAACCUGAGAUCUAAAAAUAAUCUUAAUCCUGAGAUGGUGAUAACCACAAAACCUAAUUUUAAAGUGGAAAUAAAGAUAAAUUAUUAGAGUUCAUAGAAAUCUUAAUUUCUGUGUGCAAAUGACAGUAUUGAGCAGAAAUCCUAGAAUUCUCAUACAGAAAACUUAAAUAUUGCCAUAUCAUUAUUAUAUGCUAUUUUUCCUGUUAUAAAUGGAAAUAUAACCAAUUUUUGAAUUAUUUUGUGCUUAAUAGAAUUCUAUUAUUCAGCAACAUUGUUUUAUGUCAUACAACAAAACAAUAGUAGCUUUCAUGGAUUUUAUUCUUUUUGUAAAGAUUCAGAUUCAGCAUUGAGUUAAGAUGAGUUAACCACUCAUUGCUUCUGGGGUAACAUUCAGUUUUCUAAAAGAGGCAACAGGCAAAUGAGGCCCUAAAAGAACAAAUGUACGUAAUAUCAACAGGUACUUUCCAAAAAAUGAUUUAUUUUUGCCAGUGUUUAGAAAAUAAGAUUUUUAAAUUCUUCAUACAUAAACUCAGCUUAUUUUAAAUGCACACAAUUAAUCUCUUUUUCAUUAACUUGUUUAUAUGAAUUAUUUGUUAGAAAGUUUUUUCUGUCUCAACUUCAAAUCAUAAUAUAGUAUGAUCCAUCCCUUGAAGCUAAGCUAUGCUCUACUCAGGAUUCAGGUGUGUCUUGACAUGUCUGUAAGACUAGUGAGAUGUUCUCCUACCAACAGGGACUGAAAAAUCCCUCUGGAAAAGAGUUAGUCUUAAGGAAAGAACAUCCAAGUUCAUGUCUUAGUCCAUGGAUAAAGCUAGGAUCCAUUUACCAGAGAGGUUAAAUGCCCAAGUGUAGGGCAAUGGGAGUAGAGACUGGGGAUGAGGCAGACACAGAGCUGGUUUUGUGGGCUAAACGAGUAGAAGUCCAUCUGUCUCAAGAGCAAGCAUUACCUCCCUCUAGGAGGGUGAGCUGUAGACCAGGGUUAUUAAAGGCUUCUGUGAUGUUAUUCUAGGUGGUCUACUGAUCUAACAUAGGACUGUGAAUUAUUUGCAUGCCCCUUUACUUGACCACUUGGGUAGAUGGAGAAGGAAACUUAGAAGCAACAAAGAUGGUAUUUCUUUUGGAGCAGGAAAUAUUUGCCAAUUUCCCUUUUUAUUUGCCUAAUCUUUAAAAUUAAUGAGAUACAAACCAUCUACAUGUUAUAAUAUCAUUUGAUGUAAAUACUUUGUAUCUUUGAAGGCUAACCUACAUUUUUUGAAGUAAAAUAUUUAAUAAAAUUUGCUUUCUAAAAUUAAAAAAAGAAUUUAAACAAAACUUGAGUUGCAAUGCAAUAAAGUAUUUGUGAAAGUAUUAAAAUAUAUAGCAAGCAGAGUCACGUUCAAUGAGUAGUCCCAAGGUAUUGAGGAAAACACAAGAUUUAUUGCAAAUAUUGCUCCAGUUCAUACAUUUUAGUCUCCUCAGACUGAUCAAUCAGCAUUUGUACUUCCUCUAGCCGUUUUACAAUCUCAGAGAAAGAUCAUUUCCCCAGAAACAAUGAAAAAGAGUGUUUGUAAAUGUCUAUACAUCUCUAUAUUAUAUAUAUAGAUUGUCUAACCUCUUGAGAAAUGCUUAGUGGAAAAAUUCUUUCAGAAAGCUGGUCAUUCCCUCCUUUAAGUUGUUUGAAGAACAUUGACUCUAGAUUUCAAAUCUCAAAAAAUAUAUUCCCCUUGCUACACAGCAAGUACUAUUGUUUUUCAUUGUUUCCGUGAAGCUGUUAUGAGUCUGAUACAAGAUGCAUGUGAAUUGUUCAGAUAUUUGGCAGGUAUAAUGUAACUAUCAAAAUUGAAACCAACCAAGAAACUCAUUUUUCAGUCUUCAGUCCCAUAUAUGAAACAUUUUGGCCUACCAUCAUUAAUAUAGAAUUACACAGCUUCAUGCUAAAUUUCACUAAGGAUUACCAAGUUCAUGAUUAUGUCCAGAAAGAAUCUUUGUAAUUUUUCUUUGCUAGAAAAAUAAAGUAUUUGUUGUAUCAAUGAACAAGAAAUAUUAAGAGUGGAUUUACUGUGCAGCUAAUGAAUUAGAUUAAGCAAUGUACUCAAAUGGUCAUAUGUUUUUGGAAAAUUUGCAGAAGUUGUAUUUUCUAAGAGCAAUCACUUAAAAUCUAAUUUCCAUCUCCUUUCCUUCCAAUUUUUCCCUUUGUUACCCUCAUGUCCGUGACACUGAUGUGGCUGUGGGAAAUCUAAGAUGAAGUGGAGUUUCAGAUACAUUUAGUUUGGGUUUGAUAGUAUGUUUAUAUGGUUUUCAGUCACUUCUUGGUGUAAAUAAAUUAUUGCUAGAUGUCAUUGCAGGACAUUUCAGUGUACUAGUGUCCUAUCUGCCAACUUAACCAUCAUUAGGUCAGGAACAUCUAGUGCCAGAGAUCUUACAGUGAUUCAAAUGUCCCCUGCAGUACUUGAUUCCAGGAGUGUGGGUAGGAGAGAAGACACAAUAUUUGAAAAGUAAAAACUAGAAGCCAAAUUAGGGAGAAUUUUUCCAAACACCGGAAUGUGUAAAAUCUUAAGUAGAGGAUUUGAUUUUCAUUGAUGCCUGAUCAAAAUGACUUUUUUAAGUAAUAUACUUGAUAAUGGAAUACAGGUAUCCCCU